UUACUACUACUUAAUAAUAGAUUGACAGAGUAAAAGUUGUAUCAAAAUAUUUUAUUUGUUUUUCUUGUAGCUUGGUUGGCGACGGAUAUUAAAUGUUACUCAGAAUGAAGAUCCUGGUUAUUGUGUAAAAAUUAUAAACAUUGGUUAUUUGAUCUUAGUCAUAACAUUUGUAUUGCUUGGUUAUGUUUUGCAGUAUGCAGCUUGUUUUAGAAAAGAUGGUUUUUCACCAUAUACUAAUGAAACAGCAUACCAAUUUUCAAUUUUUUCAAGAAGAAAUUACAAAUUUGAUAUUAACAAAUCAGAAAUAGUUAAAGAAAACAUCAAUCAAGUGUGCUCAGGCAAUAUCAUUAGUGUUUAUAUUAUUCCGGAUUUGUUACAUUUCUUAUCUUUCUUGUACAUGCUUCGUUUGAUGAGAACUCCUGAAAAUGAACAACUUCAGACUCUUAUGGAACGGGUAUUUUUGCAGUCAUCUCUUACACAAUCAUGGCAUUUUAGUCAGAGAAAACUUGUAAGAAAAUUGAGGUGAUUAUUUCAAAUUAUUGUAAUUUUGAUCAUUUUUUAAUAAUUGCUGUACUUAUAUAGUAUUUAAAUACUUUGCUCUCUAUUCUAUAAUUGCAGUUUUAUCUUGUUUUUAAUAUCAGUAUCAUUUUAUACAUAAUAGACUCCUGUUAUUGGGGCACUUACAGAAUUUGUAUGUACAAAAAUAUACUUACAAAUUAUAAGAAGCAAAAUAAAUUUAAUUUUAUUCCUCCAAACCAUCCAAGAUGUUAUUACUUUAUGCAAUAACACCAAUA